GGAUGAAGAUCCUUGGAUUUUAAGGAUACUCACGGAUGGCAGUGACCAACACUGACAGUGACAAUUCCAGAAAAGAAGUCAAGGAUCAACAGCAGUCCAUAUUCUACUGCUGAAUCUCUCAGGUGAGCUGGGAAGUGGGCUAUGACACAAUAGAAGUCCGCAAUGGCCAUCUGGCAGGAAACUACGACCCUUUUUCCUAAGGAAGGAAGUGAGAAGUCACAUGGAGGCAUUUCAGGUUUUGUGUGAAGAUCUAGCUUGGCUAUGGAUGCCCAGGAAGCACCUAUUGAAAGUGAAGUGAAUUACAAUCCCUUAGCCUGGAUCUUGUCAAUGUAUGGCACGGAGAUGUGAUAAUGGAACCAGAGAAAAACCCAACAGGAAGAGGCAUCUAGAGAUCUGACAAGUACCAUUGAAGAAGAAUGUUCCUAAUUUUGGAGAGUCAAGGCCAAAAUUCAGAUAAUUCUACAGGUGGAGAGAGCUGAGGAAAUGGUGCCUGUAUGCUGCCUGAAGAAUUUGAAUGCAUGGAUGAAACGUUGGUGUUUUUAUGGAUUUUAUGUCACAGUCCUGAGAAACACAGUGAACAAGUGCAUUUUUAAAUGAAACUGAGAAGUAACAGCUCUGAAUAUAUAUAUAUAUAUAUUUUUCAAAGAGAUCCCAUUCAUUUUUUCCUCUAAAUAGUCACUAAUGCUAUUAAUUCACUCUUACUUUAAAAGCAAGUGUCUUUUGGCUAUGCAAGGCAUAGAAAAGAGAAAAAAAUUACAGCUUAUUUUUCUGAGAAUUUCACCUCUUAAAAAGCUUUUCAUUCUGUCUCUCUGCAUUAGUUACUUUCCCAAGAUGGAGAAAAAAAAAAUAUUCUGGGUGUUUCUAAGAAUUAAAAAUACUUUACUCCGUCAGCCUCAUUUUCUUAUCUGCAAAAUUGGAGUUGUCCACUGAGUAGGCUUUAAGAACUCUUCCUCCAAGGUUACGGGAUUACGCAAGCAGGCUGGAGAGAAAUGGAACGAAGAACUAUGAGAAGAAGCCAGAGCUGUCAAUAGUCCAG